AUCAGUAUUCGGCUGAGAGUCGGGAAAGCCCAUUAGAUCAUACUCCGGAAUGCCACUGUUCAUGCAAAAACUUGAGGAGGAUCGACACCUUCACCUGGUGCUCACUGGGACUGGGACUCAUGACAAGAAGAUUUUAAUUCCCUAGAUGGAACCAGAACUAUUCGACGUCGAACUCCGUACCAGCUCGAUCUCUCUGUCGCCAACUUCAAACUUGGCCAAGAAGACGAUGAUGAUUACUGACUCGGUCGUGAUGCCAGUAAAUUAUUAGAUCCCAGUUGAAGAAAAAGGAGGUCGUCAGGUGUUAGCCUUGAUGCAAAGAACAUGGAACACGGUCCAUGAUAGAAGAAACACAAACAGGAAGAAGAGAUGAUCUCCAUGUUCCUCCCUCUUAUUCAGCGAUUUAUUGGUGCUUACUCCAUUGCGUUACCUCCUCCUCUGCAAACGGACUUCCCGCUCUGCUUCCUGACAACCUGCCGGUCCUCCGCUCUAUUCAAGUUGAAAUCAUCUCGAACUUGGAAGCAGGACUCGUGCAUUCCAACACCAACUAAAUUCGCUCCGCCCAGAGGUUGCCUCUUUAUUGGUGCUUCGAUGCACAUCGAGGCCGCAGUCUUGCCUUGGAUGACUGCGCGUUUGCGAUAUAGUUUGAGGAGCUCCAUUGGUUCACAUGUUGCCCGAGAACUCCCUCGGCAUCCCACGCGCUCUUUGCUGGAGUCACGGCCAUGUUGCCGGAUGAGUUUGUGUGUCUGGGCGUGCCGUGUGCGGUGGCUGAGAGCCAGCAUUUCUCGCCAUUGAUGCACCGGUCGUCCUCGAGCAAGUUCCCGCGGCCGGGAAUGGAGAUCCGUGCUGGAACUUGGUACACAAUCGGAGAGGAGAACGCAUGCAGUGGCAAGUCGUGCGCUGGAUCCAAAGCAGAGGCACUGGUUCGACGAAAAGAUCUCGACUUGAUCGGUUGGCACGUAUCGAUCUCCACGAUCUUUGGGC